GAUAAACGCUGGCGGCGUGCCUAACACAUGCAAGUCGAACGAUCCCGCAAGGGAGAAUGGCGGAAGGGUGAGUAACACGUGGGAAUCUACCUCCUCGCAGGGAACAACCUCUCGAAAGAGAGGCUAAUACCCAAAAGGGUCAGAAAUGAUCAGAGUCGAAAGGCGUGAGGAGAGGAGCCCGCGGCCCAUCAGCUAGUUGGUGAGGUAAUGGCUUACCAAGGCUACGACGGGUAGGGGAUCUGAGAGGAUGUCCCCCACACUGGAACUGAAACACGGUCCAGACGCCUACGGGUGGCAGCAGUGAGGAAUAUUGGACAAUGGGCGAAAGCCUGAUCCAGCCAUCCCGCGUGGUAGAUGAAGGCCCUCUGGGGUUGUAAAUACCCUUUUUGCAAGGGAGGAAACUCUCCGAUUCAUCGGAGCCUGACGGUACCUUGCGAAUAAGCACCGGCUAACUCCGUGCCAGCAGCCGCGGU
rnacentral:rRNA from 1 species